rnacentral:lncRNA from 1 species
CAAGAGGGCAACCACUCCUGGUACUGAAAGCAUAGCUACUUACCUAGGGCUAGUGAACUCAUGGAACUUACAGAACUUAAAACCACCACUUUAUUAAACCAGCACAGUCCCUAACUACAUCCCAAACAUUUUCUUUAAUACCCACAAAUAAGUGUAGUUCUUACCCUUCAACCUCUCUUUUCAGCAGAUGGAAACCAUUACAGAAAACCAUCACCAAUUAAAAUGCAAUUUUGAUUGCAUUUGAUUGCAGGGUUCAGGGGGAAAUUAACAUCUAAAAUGAUGAAAUGGGAAAAAUCUGCGACUGACAGAAGCCCAGGAGGAAAAUACACAGACAUCUACAUCACUGCCUACCAGGCUCAGAGAACAUUUCAGAAGAGGGAGCAGAAAAAAAGUGUAAGAGCCAGAGGAUGGUUGGGAUGUUGCUCAACUUGACAGUUCCCCUGAAUUGAAACAUUCUCUUCUAAAAGAAGAAAGCUCGUACAACUCAGGAAGGAACUGAAACACGUGACCCAGGACACUCCUGAAACAUUCCGAGGCCCUUUGCCAAAGUUUUAAAAUAAAAUUGUAGGGG